GGGAGCUGCCUAUAACCGUGGUUUGUUUUGCCAAGAGGCAGACUGGCUCAGGAGAGGUCCAACUCUAACACUAAAUCAUGUAUUCCCGAGAGAAGCCUUCCUCUAUCUCAGGUGACCACUUUGAAUUUGGCCCUGGAAGGUGGAAACUAAAGCCUGUUCAGAGUCCUGUAAAAUGAGUCAGUCUCUGCUCAAAUCCCAGAAGACCUUUGUCCACGUUAGAAGAAAGUGAUCAAAAUUAGUGUUCUUGCUGGCUGUCCCUGAAGAAAAAUCUUGGACUAAAUGAGCCGUGAAAACUGAACUCUUUCCCCAUACUUCAUUCAGACAAGCAUUGCACCAUAUUUUUUAGCAAACCACUGGGGAAGUUUGUUUGGGGUAUAUACAGAGUGCUUACAUGUUCAUAACUGUCCAGCAAGCCCUUUUCGGGGGGCCUAAACUCUCUGCAUGCAGGAAAAUAAUUCUGUCUGAUACUCUGCCUAAUGCCUGGUCCUGAAAGAUUGAGGGAGAGUUGCUCUGAAAAAAAA